GCAAGUCGAACGCAUCGCAAGAUGAGUGGCAGACGGGUGAGUAACGCGUGGGAACAUACCCUUUUCUACGGAAUAGCUCUGGGAAACUGGAAUUAAUACCGUAUACGCCCUACGGGGGAAAGAUUUAUCGGGGAAGGAUUGGCCCGCGUUGGAUUAGCUAGUUGGUGGGGUAAAGGCCUACCAAGGCGACGAUCCAUAGCUGGUCUGAGAGGAUGAUC
rnacentral:rRNA from 1 species